rnacentral:rRNA from 1 species
UACGGGAGGCAGCAGUGGGGAAUAUUGCACAAUGGGCGCAAGCCUGAUGCAGCCAUGCCGCGUGUAUGAAGAAGGCCUUCGGGUUGUAAAGUACUUUCAGUCGUGAGGAAGGUGUUAAGGUUAAUAACCUUAGCAAUUGACGUUAGCGACAGAAGAAGCACCGGCUAACUCCGUGCCAGCAGCCGCGGUAAUACGGAGGGUGCGAGCGUUAAUCGGAAUUACUGGGCGUAAAGGGCACGCAGACGGUUAUUAAGUUGGAUGUGAAAUCCCCGGGCUUAACCUGGGAAUGGCAUUCAAGACUGGUUAGCUAGAGUCUUGUAGAGGGGGUAGAAUUCCAUGUGUAGCGGUGAAAUGCGUAGAGAUGUGGAGGAAUACCGGUGGCGAAGGCGGCCCCUGGACAAAGACUGACGCUCAUGUGCGAAAGCGUGGGGAGCAAACAGGGAUUAGAUACC